rnacentral:rRNA from 1 species
GACGAACCGUGCGAACGUUGUUCGGAAUCACUGGGCUUAAAGGGCGCGUAGGCGGCCUGCUAAGUCGAACGUGAAAUCCCCGGGCUCAACCCGGGAACUGCGUCCGAUACUGGCAGGCUUGAAUCCGGGAGAGGGAUGCAGAAUUCCAGGUGUAGCGGUGAAAUGCGUAGAUAUCUGGAGGAAUACCGGUGGCGAAGGCGGCAUCCUGGACCGACAUUGACGCUGAGGAGCGAAAGCUAGGGGAGCAAACGGG